UAGGGAAUCUUCGGCAAUGGGGGGAACCCUGACCGAGCAACGCCGCGUGAGUGAAGAAGGUUUUCGGAUCGUAAAGCUCUGUUGUUAAGGAAGAACGAGUGUGAGAAUGGAAAGUUCAUGCUGUGACGGUACUUAACCAGAAAGGGACGGCUAACUACGUGCCAGCAGCCGCGGUAAUACGUAGGUCCCGAGCGUUGUCCGGAUUUAUUGGGCGUAAAGCGAGCGCAGGCGGUUAGAUAAGUCUGAUGUGAAAGCCCCCGGCUCAACCGGGGAGGGUCAUUGGAAACUGGUUGACUUGAGUGCAGAAGAGGAGAGUGGAAUUCCAUGUGUAGCGGUGAAAUGCGUAGAUAUAUGGAGGAACACCAGUGGCGAAGGCGACUCUCUGGUCUGUAACUGACGCUGAGGCUCGAAAGCGUGGGUAGCAAACAGG
rnacentral:rRNA from 1 species